UACAGAGGUCUCAAGCGUUGUUCGGAUUCAUUGGGCGUAAAGAGCGUGUAGGCGGCCAGAUAGGUCGGUUGUGAAAACUGGAGGCUCAACCUCCAGACGUCGACCGAAACCCUCUGGCUAGAGUCCGGAAGAGGAGAAUGGAAUUCCUGGUGUAGCGGUGAAAUGCGCAGAUAUCAGGAAGAACACCCGUGGCGAAGGCGGUUCUCUGGGACGGUACUGACGCUGAGACGCGAAAGCGUGGGGAGCGAACAGG
rnacentral:rRNA from 1 species